UACGUAGGGGGCAAGCGUUGUCCGGAAUCAUUGGGCGUAAAGAGCGUGUAGGCGGCCCGAUAAGUCCGCUGUGAAAGUCCAGGGCUCAACCCUGGAAUGCCGGUGGAUACUGUCGGGCUCGAAUCCGGAAGAGGUGAGUGGGAAUUCCUGGUGGAGCGGUGAAAUGCGUAGAGAUCUGGAAGAACACCAAUGGCGAAGGCAGCGUCCUGGGGAAGUGACUGACGCUCAUGUGCGAAAGCUAGGGGAGCGAACGGG
rnacentral:rRNA from 1 species